AGCUGAUAAAAUUUGGGAAGAAGAGUCUGGGGCUUGAUGCAAGAGCCCUCUGGGGUUCUGUGUGUAUUUAUUAUUGUAACCCCAAGAAUUCAUUGCUGUUCAGAUGGUGCAGGUGGACCUCAAAAGCAGACUCUAAGAAUGGGAUUAUAGAAUUGGAUCACCCACCAGCCAACUGGCCAUCAUGACUCCAUCAUUGGUAAUGGGUGACGUAUUGGCAGUCCUGGCUUGCUGUAGCAUUUCAACCAUGCACAUUUCCACCUGGCAUCAGACCAACAGCUGAAGUCAAAUCUCAUCAUGAACUGACUAAGAACGUGCUGGACCUGCAAAGGGAGGAGCAGACUCAUCUGCAGGAUCUGUGGGACCUGCCUAGCAUGUGUCAGGAGUUGGGAGAGUGUGCCUAGGAGAGGAUCUUUAAGCGGGACACCCUCUCUCAUAAAACCCUGGCAAGU